UUGGCGUGUUUCCAUAAAAUUUUCCGCUUUCCCUUGGCUUUUCUUCGAAUUAGUAGGUUACCAUGGUACAAAAAUCAAAAAUAAAGCACCUUGAAUAAGUUUUCCUUGAAUAUAAACGGUAUUGGCCUUGACUAUCCUUACCUGAAAAUCAAAAGUAAUCAAUCAAACGACAGUUUGGUGCAACUCCCAAGUCCCAACUCGGCCAUUUCUGUACUUUUCCAUAGAAUUUCAGCUAGUAUUUACAGACUAAAAUUAGAUUAGGCGAACGUCAACCAUUAUAGCUUCUUUUCCGAAACCACUGCAAUUGAUUUAAGCAUGUUUUGCAGGAUGUCGACUCAGAAAAAUCCAUAUCGUCAUCGAAAUUGUUUCGAUUCUUUUCCAAUGAAGAAACCCGAAACUCGCGAUAGAAAAAAACUCCAAGUUACAUCGCUUCAUUCGCAUGGGACAGCUGUAAAUCAACGUCGUCGAGCCAAAUUCAACGAAUGCUACUGCGAUACAUUAAAAAGAAACGCAUUUAGAGAUCAACGUGAUUUAGUUCAAGAAUCAGAUAUAGAGAUUUUGCACGAUAGAAAUCAUAUCUCGAACAUCUGCCACAAUGACGAGAUUAGUAGUAUAAAACGCGAUAAAUAUCGAUAUCCGCUGCCGGAGUUCUAUUUCAAUGACUCGGAUGAUUUUCUUCAAGGUUACGAUAACGUUGAUUCGCGAUUUUCUCUCAUUUAUACAUCUUUACCCUUAGUCAACAAUUAUAAACGGUGGUUGUCUGACAUCAUUGAAUAUCGUAGGAGAAACUGGAAGGAAUGCCAUGCGAAUUCUUUCGCUGUGUAAUUAAUUUAUAGAAUAAUAAAAUUUGAAAAAAAAACAUGUGUAUAUUUACAAAAAAGAAAUGCAUUAUAAAAACAAUACAAUGUAUAAAUAUCA